CAGCAGCCGCGGUAAUACGAGGGGGGCAAGCGUUGUUCGGAAUUAUUGGGCGUAAAGGGCGCGUAGGCGGCUUUGCAAGUCUUGUGUGAAAUCUCUGGGCUCAACCCAGGGGCUGCACGAGAAACUACCGGGCUUGAGUAUUGGAGAGGUGAGUGGAAUUUCCGGUGUAGCGGUGAAAUGCGUAGAGAUGUGGAGGAAUACCGAUGGCGAAGGCAGCCCCCUGGACCAUUUCUGACGCUGAUGCACGAAAGCUAGGGGAGCAAACAGGAUUAGAUACCCCCGUAGUCCCUGUCUCUUAUAC
rnacentral:rRNA from 1 species